rnacentral:rRNA from 1 species
CAGUCGAACGAACUCUGGUAUUGAUUGGUGCUUGCAUCAUGAUUUACAUUUGAGUGAGUGGCGAACUGGUGAGUAACACGUGGGAAACCUGCCCAGAAGCGGGGGAUAACACCUGGAAACAGAUGCUAAUACCGCAUAACAACUUGGACCGCAUGGUCCGAGCUUGAAAGAUGGCUUCGGCUAUCACUUUUGGAUGGUCCCGCGGCGUAUUAGCUAGAUGGUGGGGUAACGGCUCACCAUGGCAAUGAUACGUAGCCGACCUGAGAGGGUAAUCGGCCACAUUGGGACUGAGACACGGCCCAAACUCCUACGGGAGGCAGCAGUAGGGAAUCUUCCACAAUGGACGAAAGUCUGAUGGAGCAACGCCGCGUGAGUGAAGAAGGGUUUCGGCUCGUAAAACUCUGUUGUUAAAGAAGAACAUAUCUGAGAGUAACUGUUCAGGUAUUGACGGUAUUUAACCAGAAAGCCACGGCUAACUACGUGCCAGCAGCCGCGGUAAUACGUAGGUGGCAAGCGUUGUCCGGAUUUAUUGGGCGUAAAGCGAGCGCAGGCGGUUUUUUAAGUCUGAUGUGAAAGCCUUCGGCUCAACCGAAGAAGUGCAUCGGAAACUGGGAAACUUGAGUGCAGAAGAGGACAGUGGAACUCCAUGUGUAGCGGUGAAAUGCGUAGAUAUAUGGAAGAACACCAGUGGCGAAGGCGGCUGUCUGGUCUGUAACUGACGCUGAGGCUCGAAAGUAUGGGUAGCAAACAGGAUUAGAUACCCUGGUAGUCCAUACCGUAAACGAUGAAUGCUAAGUGUUGGAGGGUUUCCGCCCUUCAGUGCUGCAGCUAACGCAUUAAGCAUUCCGCCUGGGGAGUACGGCCGCAAGGCUGAAACUCAAAGGAAUUGACGGGGGCCCGCACAAGCGGUGGAGCAUGUGGUUUAAUUCGAAGCUACGCGAAGAACCUUACCAGGUCUUGACAUACUAUGCAAAUCUAAGAGAUUAGACGUUCCCUUCGGGGACAUGGAUACAGGUGGUGCAUGGUUGUCGUCAGCUCGUGUCGUGAGAUGUUGGGUUAAGUCCCGCAACGAGCGCAACCCUUAUUAUCAGUUGCCAGCAUUAAGUUGGGCACUCUGGUGAGACUGCCGGUGACAAACCGGAGGAAGGUGGGGAUGACGUCAAAUCAUCAUGCCCCUUAUGACCUGGGCUACACACGUGCUACAAUGGAUGGUACAACGAGUUGCGAACUCGCGAGAGUAAGCUAAUCUCUUAAAGCCAUUCUCAGUUCGGAUUGUAGGCUGCAACUCGCCUACAUGAAGUCGGAAUCGCUAGUAAUCGCGGAUCAGCAUGCCGCGGUGAAUACGUUCCCGGGCCUUGUACACACCGC